rnacentral:rRNA from 1 species
UACGUAGGUGUCGAGCGUUGUCCGGAUUUAUUGGGCGUAAAGAGCCCGCAGGCGGCUUGUCUAGUCCGAGGUGAAAUCUCCCGGCUCAACUGGGAGGGUGCGCCGAAAACUGGAGUGCUGGAGCGCGGGAGAGGAAAGCGGAAUUCCUGGUGUAGCGGUGAAAUGCGUAGAUAUCAGGAGGAACACCUGCGGUGUAGACGGCUUUCUGGACCAUUGCUGACGCUGAGACACGAAAGCGUGGGUAGCAAACAGG